GGGCAGAGCCAAGCAGGGGCAGGGACUUACUUCACAGAGCCUCAAAGCGACUCCAUCUCUUCCCCCUCACGUCUCCUCCUCGCGUCCCUUCUACAAGAUAGCUUGGCGUUGCUAUUUCAUCUCGUCUCCCGGCUGGUCAGUGCACGAGCAGGGCGGCUGGGGGAGAGUGCUCAGCUCAGGGUCUCGUUCAUGGGGUGGCUGCGGUCGCUCAUGGCGCCCAUCAAGAAGCUCUGGAUUCGCGUGCAUUCCGCGCAGAAGAAGAAGAGAGGGAUCUACAUCCUGUACGAGGACGUCAAGUCGUGCCCGUGUGAGGACGUGCAGAUCCUCUGGUCCAUCCUCGUCGAGUCCCACCCGCCGCCGCCGCUGCGGCUGAAGCAGUGAUCGACCGGCCGGCCGGUCCCUGCCGCCGUCCGUCGAUCGAGCACGGCGCUCCGACGUACCGAUGGCCUCCCGGCGGCAACCGAUCCCGACAUGCUUCGACUGACUGUCGGUGGCUCGUUCUAGUGUACAUAAAGAUGAUCGAGCGAGCGGCAGUUCCGUGUCGCCAUGAUAGUAGAAAAGUAGGUGUUCCCUCGGCCUCUCCCUUGCGAGCCACGGAAAUGGCGUGCAUGGCCGGUGAGCUCCCCUCUCGCUAGCAUCGCAUGUGUCCUUCCCCGACACUGCGAUUCUGCGAAGCAAGUUUUUUUUUUCUUUUUCUCUUCUUUCUUCUUUUCCUUUUUGGAAAAAAAGGGGGAGGCACGUGUAAGGCUCGGUUGGUGGCCCGGGUCAAUGGCCGCGCGUGCCUGUAUUAUCAUCUUGUAAAUACAAGAGAGGAUACGAGAGAGAAGGCUGUAAGCACCAGACACCGGCGAUGAUGGUGUUGAGGGAAAAGAAUUGUGAGUGUGGCAUUGAAAGAUGGCCUGAUUGA